rnacentral:rRNA from 1 species
AGAGACCGAUAGCGAACAAGUACCGUGAGGGAAAGAUGAAAAGUACUUUGAAAAGAGAGUCAAACAGCGCGUGAAAUUGUUGAAAGGGAAACGAUUGAAGUCAGUCGUACCGACGGGAAAUCAACUAUCUUGA